GGUUUCACCGUGUUAGCCAGGAUGGUCUCGAUCUCCUGACCUCGUGAUCCGCCCGUCUUGGCCUCCUAAAGUGCUGGGAUUACAGGCGUGAGCCACCGCGCCCGGCCCCCGAGUCUAAUUAUUAUAUUAGAAUGCUUUUUAAAUGAAUACGCUGUGAGUGGAAUAUUUCUUUUGGGGGCCGGGGAGAGUGCUGAGAGACGCAGCUGUGUCUCUGCUGUCUGCAGUCUUGGGCAGGCAGCACUGUGGUCCCCGAUACAGCGGGUUGAAUGCACUGCUUCACAUUGAUGCCACAUUUUCAAACCUAAACAUGAUUAACAUGUUUUAAGUAUUUAUCAAUUCACACUUUUGCAUAUUUAAAUGCUAUUUUUAAGAUAUUAAACACAUUCCUAGUUUUUUUCUUUUUAACCACUGGAGACUGCCAAUGUUAAGAUCUUGUGUUAUAUGAAAUUCUUCUAAAGCAAUUUCCUUUUACUUUUCGUGUUGCAUAUUUUCCAGUGGGGAUAAAUUGGAAGUUCUUAUUACUAGUAAUCCUGAAACUGAAAUUUGCUUUUCCUGCAUAGUCAUCUUUUGUUCAGUCCAUUUGAGUUUUGUUGCCAUCCAGUUUCAUAAUCAUGUUGUGUUUAUCUAAUAGACAAUGAGGUACUGCUUGAGUGAUACGAAAUUCUCUAGUAAAAAAUUCUCUGAAGAUGUGAGAAGUUCUGUGUAUUACUUGGCACCAGGAAUGUUACAAAGAUGCUGUUGCCAGCAUAUUGCUAAUGUAGCCUUUAGGCUUCAGGGACCCCUGUAGUAUGUUGAGUUUCGAGCAUUAAUAGCAGGCUAACAGAAUACAGUACCAAUAUGCCAAGUUAAAUAAUUGAGAAUACAUACAAUAAAUUAGUUUGCUGUAUAUAAUGACCUCAUUGCAUUGACAGUACAUCUCACAGUUGGGAUUAAUUCACCUAUAACCUCUGUGAACUGCGAGUGCUCGGCAGAAGCAGGCCCGUGUCUCGUUGAAUGUCUACAUUUAUGUUUGUAUUUAUUUUUUUGAGACAGAGUCUCAGUCUGUCACCCAGGCUACAGUGCAGUGGCAUGAUCACAGCUCACUUGCAGUCUUGAACUCCUUGCUCAAGUGAUCCUGCCACCUCAGCAUGCUGAGUAGCUAGGACUGCAGGUGCACAGCACCACGGCUGGCUAAAUGCAUGUCUGCAUUUAUGCAAGGUGUGUUGACAGGGUGGGGAGGGAGCUGGGACUGAGAUUUGCCUCUGUAAAAUGCACAAAAAGGGUUUACUAAGCAAAUUGAUAUUUGAAAUGAAAGAUGGAUUAAGUGAGAGACUUAGUUUAUUCAGGAAUAAGAGCAAAACCAACCACAUCAAAAAAUGUAUUUUACUGAGACAGCUUUUUGUGCAUACAACAGGGUGAUGUUUACAGAUUUCAAGAAAGGAGAAAAAGAAUACUUAUAUUGAGAUUACCUCCCUCCCAGUAGUGAAAAUAAUAAAUUAUCCUUUGAAAUAUAAUCGUAUGUUUAUUUGUCACAGAAUCUACACUUAUUUACAAGUGCUUUAUGCUCAGGAUGAAAUGGAGAUCCUGGCUCUCUUGUUUCAAUGAUCUUAGAAGAUAAUUCUAGGAAUUUUAAAGAUCUUAAUGGUAUGAGCAGAAAAGGUAUUUGAAGAAAAGAAGGAAAUUGUAUGUUUGACACAUUGGGCUUCUUUCUGUGUUGUUAGUGUUGGGUUUGGGUCAUUCAGGAUUUCUUAACUGAUUCAGACGUAAAUCAGGCUACUGUAGAAGAUAGUAGUUGGAAUGGAACGGACAGAAGAUGAUUUUUAGACAAUGAGGCAAAAAAAGUCAUCUUUCCUGCUUUUUCUGAAAUGAUAUGUUGAGAGGACAUUUUUGUGAGAUAUGCAUUUCUGAAUUAAAGGAUUCCUUCUGAAAAUACAACUUGUUAGGUAAUGUGAACAUAUUUUUUCUGUUGGCCAAAGUUCAUUUUUUGAAAUGGGGGCCUCAUUUAUUUUUGAUUUUCAGAAUUGAGUCUCUAUAAGGCCUAAAAUAAAAUAUAUUAAAUGUUAUCAAAGUUGUUUGCGCCUGUUUAAAUAUCUUUUUUGCAAGUCACUUAUAUUUCUUGGUACUGAAAGCUCACUACUCAAUUGUCCUUAUGAGCAUGAAGGUCACACAGUGCGUCGGAUCGUACUGGCCCAGAUGCCUGAGUGGCACAUGUGCACUGGGGAAGUGGGAGCCUCUUCACUGCCUGCCUUGGAAUUCAACACCUGAGCCAGAAUCUACAGAACCAGAGGAGGCGGAUGGGCCAGUGUCAGCAGAGGGAAUGCAGAACAAGAAGGCCCGCUAGCAGAAGAGGCUGCCCAAGGGCCCUGGGUGCAUCCAGGGCUGCUUCAGGACGGAGCUAGGCAAGUGGAGAGAAUGUAGAGACGGGGUUUCACCGUGUUGACCAGGCUGAUCUCGAACUCAUGGAAAGGAAGUUCUGGGCCCAGGGACUUGGUCUGUACCUUGUCACUGGGUGCUAUAAGCCCCUGUGGUACUCAUGUAGGUAUAAAAUCAGCGCCUGUUUAUUUCACUGGGAGUUUUUUUUUUUUUUUUUUUUG